UACGUAGGGUGCAAGCGUUGUCCGGAAUUAUUGGGCGUAAAGAGCUCGUAGGCGGUCUGUCGCGUCUGCUGUGAAAACCUAGGGCUUAACCCUGGGCCUGCAGUGGGUACGGGCAGACUAGAGUGCGGUAGGGGAGACUGGAAUUCCUGGUGUAGCGGUGAAAUGCGCAGAUAUCAGGAGGAACACCGAUGGCGAAGGCAGGUCUCUGGGCCACUACUGACGCUGAGAAGCGAAAGCAGGGGGAGCGAACAGG
rnacentral:rRNA from 1 species